GAUGAACGCUGGCGGCGUGCCUAAUACAUGCAAGUCGAGCGAACGGACGGGAAGCUUGCUUCUCUGAUGUUAGCGGCGGACGGGUGAGUAACACGUGGAUAACCUACCUAUAAGACUGGGAUAACUUCGGGAAACCGGAGCUAAUACCGGAUAAUAUUUUGAACCGCAUGGUUCAAAAGUGAAAGACGGUCUUGCUGUCACUUAUAGAUGGAUCCGCGCUGCAUUAGCUAGUUGGUAAGGUAACGGCUUACCAAGGCAACGAUGCAUAGCCGACCUGAGAGGGUGAUCGGCCACACUGGAACUGAGACACGGUCCAGACUCCUACGGGAGGCAGCAGUAGGGAAUCUUCCGCAAUGGGCGAAAGCCUGACGGAGCAACGCCGCGUGAGUGAUGAAGGUCUUCGGAUCGUAAAACUCUGUUAUUAGGGAAGAACAUAUGUGUAAGUAACUGUGCACAUCUUGACGGUACCUAAUCAGAAAGCCACAGCUAACUACGUG
rnacentral:rRNA from 1 species